rnacentral:rRNA from 1 species
UACGGAGGGUGCAAGCGUUGUCCGGAUUUAUUGGGUUUAAAGGGUGCGUAGGCGGCCAUUUAAGUCUGGGGUGAAAGCCCGUUGCUCAACAACGGAACUGCCCUGGAAACUGGAUGGCUUGAGUACAGACGAGGGUGGCGGAAUGGAUGCUGUAGCGGUGAAAUGCAUAGAUAGCAUCCAGAACCCCGAUUGCGAAGGCAGCUGCCUA